AAGAAAAAAAAAACUAUUGAUAAUCACAGACAAUUAUUAUUGUAGUGUAUUGUUAUAAUUAUUUUUUUUUAUAUAAAUCACAAAAAAAAAAACCGGACGUGUACAUGGGGCGCGGCUGACUGCGGUCGCCUCUCGACGGUGCGAAAAAUUACGAGAAAAAUAAAAAACAUUCUGUAUUGUCAUUACUUUUUUUCGUUGUUUCCCCCUUUAUAGAAAUCGGUUUAUUAUCGUAUAAUAUAUUAAAAAAAAAACAACACCCGACGGCGACGGUCGUUGUAUUUUUUCGAAAAAAAAAAAAAGAACCGCGUUCGACGAACAACAACAAUGAUUUUGUACCGGACAAAUAGCAUUGCAAUGAAAUUUAAUUUUUUUUUUUUUUUUUAUUAUUAAUAUCGGUUUUAAUUUUUAUUUUGUUUUGUUUUUUUUUAUUUCAUUUAACAGCUAGUGAAUUGAGCGCAUAUAACAUU